AUCUCACAUCUCCUUCAGAACUUACGCUGGAAAAACUCCAACAGCUUCAUAUGGACAGAUGGACUUCAAACGCUGUUUGUAUUCCAGAGACUAGGGAGAGUUGGCCCUAUGCAUGGGCAAACAGCUGGACUUUCCAAGGAAGGUUCAGACUAGCUGUGUUCAGCAUUCAAGAAGGAAGAUCCUCCCUCUUGCACAAUUAGAGUGUCCCCAUCGGUCUCCAGUGCGGCAUCCCUUCCUUGCCUUCUACCUCUGUUCCACCCCCUUUCCUUCCUUUCCUCUCUGUACCAUUCAUUCUCCCUGACCGGCCUUUCUUGCCGAGGGUUCUGUGGCUCUUACCCUUGUGAAGCUUUUCCUUUAGCCUGGGACAGAAGGACCUCCCAGCCCCCAAAGGAUCUCCCAGUGACCAAAGGAUGCGAAGAGUGAUAGUUACGUGCUCCUGACUGAUCACACCGCAGACAUUUAGAUUUUUAUACCCAAGGCACUUUAAAAAAAUGUUUUAUAAAUAGAGAAUAAAUUGAAUUCCUGUUCCAUAAA
rnacentral:sRNA from 1 species